UAGGCAUCAGUUAUAUUCAAGGCUCUGAGGUGAAUAGAGAUCAUGCUCUCUGGGAAUCUCUAACUUUGAGAGAAGAAAAAAAAAACACACUGAAAUAGCUACAGGACGAGUUAAACUUUGAGCUCAGGGCCCAGCAAGAUGCUGAAUCAUCCUGGAAGACUCUCAUGCCUUGCUCCAAGUCUAACAAUUCUUCAGUGCAUGAAGUUGCUCCCCACUGCACACUGAUUCUGCUGAUAUGGCACACCUCUGAGAUGACUGUCCUCAGCUUCAAGAAGACACAGCCCUGAAUCCAGAAUAUGGGAGUUACCAGCAAGACUGUGGUGAGCUCUGUGCGACUGCCUUCUCUAUCUUCACUAUUCUUAACUCAAAGUUGUGUCAUCAUU
rnacentral:lncRNA from 1 species